rnacentral:rRNA from 1 species
ACAUUGUUUCUUGAUCCAUACUAUAAGAAAUAAGUACUGCCCAGUGAUAUUAUUUCAACGGCCGCGGUAUACUGACCGUGCGAAGGUAGCAUAAUAAUUUGUCUCCUAAUUAGGGAAUAGAAUGAAUGGACAAACUCGAAACAUACUGUCUCUAUAACACACUAAUAACUUUAUCUUCAGGUGAAAAAGCCUGAAUAUGAUAAAAAGACAAGAAGACCCUAAAAGCUUUAUAUCUUACAGCUAACUCCAAGCACCAUGAUCUUUUGUUGGGACGACAACAAGAAUAAAAAACACUUGUAAAAAUAAAGACCAAGUCUCCAUUAUUAACCAAAAAAAGAAAAUAUGUAAGCUACUCUAGGGGUAACAGGCUAAUGUUCUUAAAGAGUACACAUUGACAAGAACGUUUGGCACCUCGAUGUUGGCUUAGGGACUCUCUUUCAUGCAAAAGUAAAAAAAGAAGGUUUGUUCAACCUAUAAUCCCCUACAUGAUCU